AAGUAGAGGUAGAACAGCCAGCCACUGGGGGAGAGGGAAAUCUGCUGUCACUCCAGCAAACUCUGAGAGACUCUGGGUCCUCCUACAAGCUCUUACUGGGUCCCUGAAGUUGGUUUAUACUUCUAAACAGAAAUAUCCAGCUAUGUGGAAAGAAGUGAAUGGGUCUUCACCCUUAACAGUCUGCACAGAUAAGGACUGUUUGCUACCAGAGACCUUGUUUUUCCAAGUAAUGAAGUAAAGCCAACAGGAUUGGUGAUAAGGGCUUCCUUUUCCUAGACGGGAUUCUUCCCAGGAGAGCAUGGUGCACAGUAGUCAAGAGCUCUAACACUGCUGCAGUAGAAUAACCCUUCGUCUGGGGUACUUCCUGGCCUAUUGAACAUAGGAAGAACCCACAGCUACGGUUACCUAAUGGUGCCAGAAGAGCACAAUCCUCUUUCACCUUUUCUUGCACUGUUAAUGGUUUUCUUUUGAUUGGGAAAUAUUCCUCCAAGGCCUUAUGGAAGAGUCAGCUGGGUGUUUUGACCUGCUCCCUCCCAGGCAGAAAAGCAGUCAUAACUGGAGAAGAUGGAGUGGAUUUUGAUGGCACCAUAUGGAAUCUGAGGAGGUCCAAGACUGUUCCUUCCAUUCUAAAACAUCUGCAGAGGUACAUCAGCUCCUGGGAAGUUCUUGCCAAUCAAUGCAGCUGAUGCAGGAACUCCAAGCUUUCUGUGUGGUGGUGUCCCAAGGAGCAGAAGACAAAGUGAAGGAACUCAAAUACUCCAGCCUUCAGAUACUACAGCCUUGAAUGGCACAGGAUGAGAUGUUGAGCAACACAGAGGCAGGAGAUCAUGGGGGGAAACUCUUCAUCCAGAUUGCACCUGCAUUGAGAUAAGUUUUAAUGAUGAUUUUUAGAGUGUUGCUGCCAGCUAAGCUCAAGCUAAUGCUAGUGAGAAACUACAGUAGGUAAUUCAAGGAGAUGACAUUUUCUUAAAUUCAUUAGCUGCCCAUUGAGGGUUGAAGAGAACAUAACUAAAAAUAAUUACUUAUGAAUUAUAAAGUUCAAAUAGAAUGUGUUACUUUGCUCACACAAAACUUUAAGGGAGACAAAUCAGAGGAGUUUAUUAGCCUAUUCUACUUUUUCAACAAACCUUACAAGGAAGGGAAAACAUAAAAAUAUAAAGGAGUUGAAGAUUCAUGUUUCCAUAAUAGCUGUAUCUGCACUAUCCUACCUGUGGAAUUUAUUCUCUCUGGGUGGUGAUGCUGUUGAAUAAUUUUUAUUUCUCAGCCAUCUUUGUUUUUUUCGCCUGUAAGCAGCUCUUUUGUGUAUGUCUAUUAACAUGCAAUCUCUCCUAGCUAGAACUUUCUUCAGCUGCCUUACACCUGAGCUAGGGGUAUUGCAGGGAGCAAAGGGCAGCAUGCAAAACUGAUCAUAAAUACACUCACAACAAUUCAUUUUUAUUUGAGCUCAUUCAUGCUAAUUGUUCUCUUGAGGCUUGAACUGGAGCACAGAGAAAUCCAAAGGGGACUCACUGGGCUGUGGGUCAGGUUUUCAGGUCACCAGUACAUGGCAAGUGGUGAAUAAUGAGCACUGCACAGUGCCAGCUCCUUAGGCCCGACCCUGAGGAUGGAGGUAAGAAUUCAGCCACUGAUCUCAUCAAGUGCAGUCUCAGGGCUGGAGGAGAGCACAGCCACACACUCCUGCAGCAAAAGGUAGUCACAGACCUUAAUGAUCAGCAGGCUGGUGUGUGCAAGUAAUGUAGUUGACCAUGCCCUGAUUAACUAGUGCAAACUGUGCCCCUGAACGUUUUCUCUAUGGAAUUAGUUCUUUUGUUGAUGGCAAUGCUCCAAGAAGUUGUUAGAGUCGCUGCUGGGACUUGAUAUGAUUACAGAUAUAUUUCCAUGUUCAAUUAUGAGUACCAUGAUGACUGAUUUGUCCCUUCCGCUGGUAUAAACAGGUUAGGAUUAAUACACGUAGUUUGCAAACCAAACUACAUAUAUUAAAAACUGUUUAGGGUGGAUUUUUUUCUUCUCCUUUUUUUUUUUUUUUUGGUUUGGUUUGGUUUUUUGGUGUGUUGUUGGUUGGUUUUGGGAUUUUUUGGGGGUUUUUUGGUUUUGUUGUUGUUGUGGUCUUUUCCUAAACAGAAUCCUUUAAGCCAGUUUUAAAAGUUUGUUCUUGCAGACAGAAACGUUCUUUCCUUUAGUCUAGAUUAGGCAUUUGGAUGGGAAAUGGAAUGUGGAGGUCCUGGGCCAACUUUCUGUGCAACCACAUGUGAACCACUUCAUGCUGUGGCUCCUUGUUUUCCUAUCAAACUUUACCCUACUUUGCUUAAUUUAAAGCCUGUGGGAGGUGGUUGUCGUCUUUUUGUCUUUUAUAGGGACACAAGCAUGUAUGAUCCAAGACUAAGGAUUCUGGACAUCACCACAGUAAUCAUGAUAAAGGCACAUCAGUCUCCAGGAUGUCCUGUUGCUUUCUAUACGUUGAGUUCUACAGUUGUCACAAAGCAUUUGGAAACAGAAGGGGCAUAAGGAGCAUCCUGGCAGCACAGAGAGAACAGAGAGACACUUCCCAGGAUUCAGCUGAUGAGAGGAUGUGACAGCAACAAGCUCACUCUGAAAGAAAUGCGCCUUCCCAGGCAUGAACCAGAUGGGAUGUGUUGGAAAUUAAGGGGGAAGAAAUCGUCCAGGUCUGUGUGUCAAGGAUGGUGAAAAAGAGAGAGAAAAGGCUUCAACGAGAAAGCUGGAAAAACCAGUGUGGAGAGGCAAUGUCAUUCCCAGCUGACCAACACAUCCGUGCAGUUUGUGUGGUUAUGAUCUAUUCCCCCUCAGCUCCAGCCGCCGCUCUCAAUGCUGCCUGCUGCCAAGAAGUAGUGCAUCUGUCAAGAUCCCGCUCUGGAACAGAAGAUCAAACAGGGGCUGAGGAGAACAAAAGCUGACCCAAACCUUUGACCUAAAUUUAACAUAAAGCCAAAUGAAACCUUAGAGAUUUUCUGCUUCUGAAUUCCUCCAAAUUUCUCCCCAGUGUUAAGACUGGACUGUGUGGUGUGUGUAAAUGUAGUUCCUCGGCAGAUCCCAGCCAUGCAGCUGGGAAAAUAAACAUCUCUCUGAAACAUC